rnacentral:misc_RNA from 1 species
AAGUCGUAACAAGGUUUCCGUAGGUGAACCUGCGGAAGGAUCAUUAACACGUAUCCAAACGUUAAAAUCCCCCCCGUGAACAUUCAAUCCUGCUCUUUCAGAGACCUCUGGCCCGUGAGAAAAUUGGAACAGUUACAAUUCGAGCGGUAGGUUUAUAGGCCUUGUUUCCCCAAGCAGUCAGUGUCUGAAAGCGUCAUUGAUUGUGCAAGGAUAGCGCUUCACGAUUCCUGUAGACCGUACACUCGGGCAGGAGCUAGGCCAAAGGGUCACCAUGCCCCCUUACAACCCCACAGUUUAUUGCAAAGCUCAAUGUAAUACAUUGGGUAAAAAAACUUGAACAACUGUUAACAAUGGAUAUCUUGGUUCUC